rnacentral:rRNA from 1 species
UACGAAGGGGGCUAGCGUUGUCCGGAAUCACUGGGCGUAAAGGGCGCGUAGGUGGUGGCUUAAGCGUGCGGUGAAAGCUCGGGGCUCAACUCCGAGUCGGCCGUGCGAACUGGGCUCACUGGAGCAUAGUAGAGGCAGGUGGAAUUCCGGGUGUAGCGGUGGAAUGCGUAGAGAUCCGGAAGAACACCGGUGGCGAAGGCGGCCUGCUGGGCUAUGGCUGACACUGAGGCGCGAAAGCGUGGGGAGCGAACAGG